GGAUGUGAGAGCGAUCUGCUUUCAAAGUCUGUCACCCCGUCGAUGGCAAGGUUGAUUUGGCUGAUCGGGCUGGCUAAGUGUUCCCUUCCUCCACCUGAUUCCCUCCCGAUGCUUGUUCAGAGAGGGCCACCUUCUCAGAAUAGAGAGAGGCUGUUCUUCAGAACCUCCAAACAAGAUUGCAAAAAUCUGGAAAAGAAUGCCGUUACUUUGGUUGAUAUGAAAAAAUUUUCUUCAAAUUCACAUUUGGUUAGCUUUUCUCUAAA
rnacentral:snRNA from 1 species